UAGUUUGGAUAAUAAGCUUUUUAGAUAGGAAACUCAAUGAGAAUAUUACUGAUUGAAGGUCAUGAUAUAUAACAAGCAUGAGGAUAUAAAUGUUAUAUACAAUGUUGUUGUGUUUGGUUGAUAGUGAAUCUAAUGAACCGGGGGAAUGAAA
rnacentral:pre_miRNA from 1 species